UGUUCCUGUAGAAGACGACUCAGCACCAGCUUUAACACCCAACCAUUUCCUGCUUGGGUCGUCUAAUGGAGUGAAACCACUGUAUGCUAUGGAUGAUAGCGCUACAACGUUACGCCAAUGCUGGCGAUUAUCUCAGCUUCAGGCCAACCGGUUCUGGCAAAGAUGGGUCAGCGACUAUUUGCCUGAGAUAACUCGACGCACGAAAUGGUUCACCGAUACGAAGCCGAUAGAAACCGACGACGUGGUAAUAAUUAUCGACUCUAGAUUUCCCCGGAAUUGUUGGCCAAAAGGACGAGUGAUCUGCAUUCAUCCUGGACGGGACGGCCAACCUAGAUCAGCGACGGUGAGGACAACCCGCGGCAUCUACGAGCGACCAGUAGCCAAGUUAGCCGUGCUAGACGUACGGCGCGUUAAGGAUUAAGCUGGCCAUGCGGCCAUCGUACCUGGGGGGACUGUUGGCGAACGUACGCCAGCGCGCCUCUACUAUUUUGGCCUCUCUAUGUGAUCGGUCGCUGUACCCCUCGCCGAUAGGUACCAUAAGCAGGUAUGACGGAAUGACAGAUUCCACACGGUGACAUCGGUGAGUCCGUACAUGAAGUAAGAGAAAAAGAAGAACAAAUAUGCUAGAGAAAAAUGCAGGUCAUGUCGUAAAUACGAUAGAUGUUUAAAGAGAAGCAGUGAAAUUUAUUAUAAUACGGUGAAUAUUUGUUAUUUUAGCUAUCUAGUGAAUUAUUACUUGGCAGUUAUCAGGAGUGAAACCUAAAAUUAUAUACUUGCACUUAACCUAAAUUUCCCAUUGGAGCUUAUGAACUAGAUUGUACGGAGAAAUAGUACGUUUGAAGUGCAGGCCUGAAUACGAAUCCGACAUAGACAUUAGACUGGUUCACGAACUGACAUUGACUGGACACAGAAACGGGACUAAACGUGAGUUACACUGAAUCUUUAUUACCUUAUUCGCUAUGAGACUUAAUUGGGAAAACUAUAUAUAUACAAAUUAUGUACACUACAACGAGUUCCUACAAUUGCAGGAAAAUAAUAACUCCCCUUACCGUAAACCCCAAGCAACGGUCGUUUUAUUCCGGGGUUAUUAUUUUG